AGCAGUCGACGCCUCACGCCUGGCGGGAAUCUGUUGUUGUUUACAUUAAUCAGGUGUCAGACAAACUAUUAUUUUUAUAGAGGCAGGAAAGCGUACCUUGAGUUGGACUAUAGAACAAAAUUUGAAUGCGAAUCAUUGUAACAAAUACAUUACAAUAACUGCAAAUCAAUUUCUUAAUCAAUUGAAUAUUACUCAGAGUACUAACCCAAGAAAAAUAGUAUCAAAUCUACAAUUUUGCAUUGAAAUCAAAUGAAUUUAUGGAAGCUGUGAGUGUGGUUGGUGGUGCAAAGGUGGUGCAUUUGCAAUUAUUUUUAAUCAAGAGGGAAGAGUCAUAGCCAAAGGAGCUUUGUUGACAGUGCCUGAAUUAAUUAGCAAUGCAGCGAGUAUUUUGAUAAUGCUUGCAAUGCCAAAUAAACCCUCUUUACAUCCAGAUUUAACUUUUCUCAACUAUUACCAAUCCAUAAUAAGUAACAUAAAAGAUUUGAAAAAAAAUGGAACAACAGUUAUUUCUAUUGGAGGCGGACCAAGAGACAUACUUGUACCAUCUUUUCAAACAAUUGAUGAACAUGCAGAUAUAAAUACUCUUACCACAAGUAUUCCCUGGUGUUUGGAGAUCUACUGAUCAUUUAUGUAUUUUAUGGUGUAAACAAUUAAUACUUAAUAUUGUAAGAUCUCUUUUUGAUUGUGUUGAUACAUCACAGAAACCUCCAGCCAUGACUGACAAUAUUGAGACUAGAUUAAAAGCAUUCAAGUGGCACUUGGUACAGCGAGGAACUAAAGAAUAACAUUGGCCCAGAACAAGUUAUGCAGAAAAAGUUGAAUUAUCAAAUGAAAAUGGUGAGUGAAUUGAAAAACUUGAAAGGCAAUAUGUUUGGAGCAGUAAAGAUUAUUUGAAAAGUUUAUAAAAAUCAGCAGUAAUUUAUUGAAUGAUGAGACUAGAUACACCUGUUGAUAUUCUAUCUGUAAAUGCAAUUAAUUUGAGAUCCCAAGAUUGGAUUUUUACUUGUUCUACAUCAGAAUCUUAAGGAUGAUUUUUUCAAUAUUGAUAAUACCAACAGACCAGCAUUUAUGAAUUGAAAAUAGUGAUUGCUAGCUCUUGGUUCUGUGCCUUAUUAUUGCUAACAAAUUCAGUUUAAUUAAAUAGAAAUAAAAACAAAGUGUCACUUACACGCAAGGAGCCGUAUACUAUAUGCCAGUGAAAUGAGUGUGGCCAACUAUUAUGAAAAACAGAUAGAAUUAAGAGUUGUGGAAGUUGCGGAAGAGUUGAAACUUGUGGAAUUGACGAUGGAAGCUCUUACACACAAGGGCUAGUUCCUAGAAUCAAAUUGCUAGGUCAUUCGUGCAGCAAUGGUAUAAAUACCUAUAUAUGUACAGCAGUAGAUCAGUAUGCAGUAUCUUAUGGCGAUAAGGGUUGCCAUUAUAGAAAUCUUGCAAAUGAUGUUUUCAUCACUAUUGCAACACACAGGAUAUAAGGAAUUAUUAUAUAGAACAUCGAGUUCUCAAACUGACUGUAGUAGUUCCUCCGAAAAUUCAACAAGAAGUUGUAUUUCAUCCAUCUCUAAAAUUCAGAAGAUGAUUAAGUGGGCUUGGGCUCAAGGAUUUGAUAUAAUACAAGGUGCUGAACAGUUAAGAGGCAAAUUAGUUAAUACUAGAAAAUGGAUUGGUGCUACUGAAGUUGCAACCCUAUUAUCAAGUUUAAGAUUUAAGUAAGUAAUUUUAUGAAAAAUAAACAGGAUUUACAGAAAUGUUAACAAUUGAAAAUGUAGGUGCCAGCUUAUGGACUUUCUUCGAUCAAUUAGUCUCAAUUGAAGCCAUCCAGAAAUGUUUAAAUGGCUUUUAAAUUAUUUCCCAACAGAAGAAGAUUCUAAGCCUCCUUUUUAUCUUCAGCAUGAGGGUAAAAUAUUACAACCUUUUUAAUAAGCCUUUUUAAUGGUAUGAUAUUUGCUCCUGUCAUCAUGCUCAUGUCCUUGAUCCAAGUCAUUAUAGUAAAUCUCUAGGGUGAAUUGGAGUUACCCUAAUAUGUUAUUGACAAAUUAAAAUAUUGUAUCUGCGUAAUGUUUUUUAUUCAAUAGUACAUAAUCAUUGGAACUCUUUACUUAUAUUUUAUUGUACUGUAAAACAUUAUUGCGCACUAUUUCAAAUUUCUAAACAAUGAAAAUCAUAACUUAUAUAAAUUCUUGGAUACAUUAAUUAAUUCUGUUCAUAAACUACAUAAAUAUUAACAUUUUUCAGAAAAUUAACUUUAUUACUAUUUUCUUUGUUUAUAUAAUGUUUUACAAGCAUAAAAAGGUCAAUACAACAUUAAAA